GGGCAGUUUACUGCUCUCGCUAUUAGAUGAGCCUAAGUCGGAUUAGCUAGAUGGUGGGGUAAAGGCCUACCAUGGCGACGAUCUGUAGCUGGUCUGAGAGGAUGAUCAGCCACACCGGGACUGAGACACGGCCCGGACUCCUACGGGAGGCAGCAGUGGGGAAUAUUGGACAAUGGGGGGAACCCUGAUCCAGCCAUGCCGCGUGUGUGAAGAAGGCCUUUUGGUUGUAAAGCACUUUAAGCAGUGAAGAAGACCUAACGGUUAAUACCCGUUAGCGAUGACAUUAGCUGCAGAAUAAGCACCGGCUAACUCUGUGCCAGCAGCCGCGGUAAUACAGAGGGUGCAAGCGUUAAUCGGAAUUACUGGGCGUAAAGCGAGCGUAGGUGGCUUGAUAAGUCAGAUGUGAAAUCCCCGGGCUUAACCUGGGAACUGCAUCUGAUACUGUUAAGCUAGAGUAGGUGAGAGGGAAGUAGAAUUCCAGGUGUAGCGGUGAAAUGCGUAGAGAUCUGGAGGAAUACCGAUGGCGAAGGCAGCUUCCUGGCAUCAUACUGACACUGAGGCUCGAAAGCGUGGGUAGCAAACAGGAUUAGAUACCCUGGUAGUCCACGCCGUAAACGAUGUCUACUAGUCGUUGGGUCCCUUGAGGACUUAGUGACGCAGCUAACGCAAUAAGUAGACCGCCUGGGGAGUACGGCCGCAAGGUUAAAACUCAA
rnacentral:rRNA from 1 species